rnacentral:rRNA from 1 species
AUCUGUGGCCAUACCACCCUGAAUGGGCCUAAACUCAUCUGAUCUUGGAAGCUAAGCAGGGUCGGGACUGGUUAGAACUCAGAUGAGAGAGGUGAUGGAGUAUUCUAAAGAGAAACAGCCAAAAGCUUUGGAAG